AUUAUAUCUAAGACCUUAAAACCUCUUUUAAAUUCUCUUAACUUUUUUUGCCAUCAAAAUUUUCAUAAAAUUAAUUUAGUUUUCCACUUUUCGCAAUUUCCUCUAAUUUGCUGGAAUUAAAUUUCUUCAAUUGCGUCUCAAUUUAUCAUCAUCGGUUGAAUAAAAGAAAUCGAAGGUUCAUAUGACGAAUCGUAAAUCCUGCUGUUGUGGAAUAUGUGAAACUUCAAAUCUUGCUUCAGUUUGUACAAUUUGUGUAAACUUCAGAUUAAAUGAGUAUUACACUGUGCUGAAAUCGUUCAAGAGUCGCCGCGAUCAACUUUACUCCAGGCUAACAGAAAAGCUUGUUGCCAAGGGAAAGGCAGAUGAGCAGCUUAAUUGGAAGAUUGUUCAAAAUGAGAAGAUUGCUAGGCUGAAGGAGAAGCUUCGCAAAACACGAGGAGAACUUCUGCAGGGGAAGUCUAAGUUGGAGAAAGUGUCUAGUGAUCUUAAAGUGACAUAUGGGCUGCUUGAUUUUUCACAAAAGAUGUUAGAAAAACACCGGGUUGAACAGCUGGAGAAGUCUUAUCCUAAUUGGAUAUGCACUCAGAGUUUAGGGCAUAUGGCAAUAACCUCAGAGCGCUUACAUAAACAAUCAGUUGUUGUAAAACAAAUCUGCAAACUGUUUCCACAACGCCUGGUGAAAGUGGAUAAUGAUAAAAAGGAUGGAUUUAAUGGCCAAUAUGAUGUAAUUUGCAAUGCUAGGUUACCACGGGGUUUAAAUCCUCAUUCUGUUCCAUCAGAGGAGCUAGCAGCAUCUUUGGGGUAUAUGGUGCAACUGCUGAAUCUUGUUGUCAAAAGCCUUUGUCUGCCUGCACUUCAUAACUCUGGUUUUGCUGGUUCUUGCUCUCGAAUAUGGCAACGGGAUUCUUAUUGGGAUGCUCGUCCAUCCUCUCGAAGCAAUGAGUAUCCUCUUUUCAUUCCCAGACAAAAUUGUUGCUCUACUGUUGGAGAAAACUCAUGGUCUGAGAGAUCAGGCCAUUUUGAAGUGGCAUCUGUAGAAUCUGAGAGGAAACCAAAACUGGAUCCUUCUGGAAGUAUUAGUUUCAACUAUUCCUGUGCGUCACCACAUACAAUGGAGACCCACAACGACUUGCAGAAAGGGAUUGCUCUUAUUAAGAAAAGUGUUGCUUGUAUAACAUCAUAUUGUUAUAACUCUCUGUGCGUGGAUGUUCCCACUGAUGCUUCUACUUUCGAAUCUUUUGCGAACUUGCUUGCAAUUCUUUCUUCAUCCAAGGAAGUCCGAUCAGUUUUCUCCUUGAAAAUGGCAUGUUCAAGAUCCUGUAAACAAGUUCAACAACUGAACAAAUCUGUGUGGAAUGUGAAUUCUAUGAUGUCAAGCACAAUGCUGGAAAGUGCUCAUGCACAACCUGCAACGAGAAAUAUGUCUGAUAAAUAUUUUCCAAGCUUUGAUAUUGCUGACGUUGGAAAGAAUGAGAGCCUCUUUGAUGGAUGGGACCUUGUGGAGUAUCCAAAAUUUCCUCCACCACCAUCUGAAAGUGAAGAUAUUGAGCACUGGACUCGAGCCAUGUUUACUGAUGCCACAAAAAAGUGAUUGAUGCUCAAGGUCUUGAGAUGAACUUAUGAACACACUCUGUGAAGAGCUAGUCUAAAAAGCCUUUGACCAUAAAUACACGGAUUAAGUACAUAUGAUAUUGAUAUGGCAGAAAUGAUAGCUUCAAGUGGUGUCCAUUUAGGGGUCGUUUGGUUCAAAAUAAGGAAUGGAAAGGGAAUGGAAUGGGAUGAAAGGAUGGAAUAGAAAUGGAAUGUGUUACUUUAGACACUUGUUUGUUUUGAUGUAGGAAUGGAAUCAUUGGCCUAAUGACUCCCUUACUUUUUGUUCCCUAUGGUGUGAGGAGGGUUUCAAGAUGGGGGAAUCAAAAUUGGGCUAGUAAGGGAGUGAAAAAAAUGGAUAACCCAACCAAACAUAAAAUAAGGGAGUGUGUUACCUCAAUCUAUUUCCAAGCCUAAAAUAUUUGCAACCAAACGGACCCUUAGGGAAUUUUAACUUCAGCCAGUUGAAAUGUAAAUAUAUAUGAUUUCCGCUUCUUACCCAUGUAAAUGCAUGCAUCUUUUUUGGAUGUUGUAAUUAUAGGAACAAGGAAGUUCAUGAUACUAUACUAACUGAUUUACCAUGUGUAUCAUGACUGGUUGAUGAAGUAAAAAGAAAAUCUUUAUGUCCAAAAUUUUCAGUGAA